GCUCCAGUGGUGCAAUCGGUCAGGACACAGUACUUAUAAGACAGUAACCUGCAGAGUGAUGCUGGGGUUGUGAGUUCGAGUCUCACCUGGAGCA
rnacentral:tRNA from 1 species